UCUGGGUCUGCCAUAGUGCCUGUAAUCCAACCCCUUGGAUCACUCUUUUAUAUUAAGGUAUUAUGUUCAAAAGGAGCAUAUUACCACGUGCAUCCCAGCUCCAACACAAUGGGUCAUUAUCUGAGCACAUAAUAGGUGCUCAGUAUCUAUCUUCUAAAUGGAUAAAUGAAAGGAUGGAUGCAUGAUAACACACAGUAGGUAGUUUGGAUGGAAGGAAAAGAGGAGCAGGAAAGGAGUGAGAGGUAUGAUUAUAAAACUGACAUUAGAGUAGGUGACACUGCUUUCAGGGACAGGAGACUGGAAUGGGUGAUCCAAAAUGAGGAAAGGUGAUGUAAGAGGGAAAAUAGGAUGUCCUUGAAGAUAAUACCCAUCUCUUUCUAGUGUUUCCUAGGGCCAGUUGGUUUUUAAGCAAAGCAUAUUGAGGGAAUAAAAAUCAAAGCCUAUCUCUAUUCUAAUGGGAACAUGAGGUAAGGAGGAAAAGUUAGGUGGUUGUGAUUGGCUGUCGCUCAUGAAUAAUCCCACAGGCCCUAUUUCUGGCCUUCUGCCAUUCAUGGGGUCAGGGAACUGAGAAGCAGUGGAAUCUUUCUGACUGCUGAUUUAAUUAAGUGUGGCUAGUCUGUGACAGAGGCUGACUCGGCACCAAGCCAAAGUCACAGGGGAGUUGGUCAUGUCAUUGAUGGGUGAGUCCAGCCUCAUGUUUGACCAAAUCAACCAGUCAUUUGGGAUAUCUGAAGACUUAUGGUUAGCAAUUGAUCCUGCUAUGGUGCUGGAAGUCACUGGUGAUUUGGUUAAAACUCAUCGAUAGAUAGAUGAUAGAUAGAUAGAUAGAUAGAUAGAUAGAUAGAUAGAUAGAUAGAUAGAUAGACAGACAGACAGACAGACAGACAGUGAAAACAUACUGACUGAUUCAGGCAAUCUGACAGUCUGGGGUAGCUACAACUUUAGUGAAACCAAGUAUUCGACAUUAUGUAGUGAAAACCAUGUUUGACUUACAUCUUUUUUCACUUCACCUAGUUGUUGUGGACAUUGUGCUGACACACCUAAGGGUGGUUUGGAAACAGUUGGCAUGUUUUCUUUAUGUAUUUUUCACCUUUGCCAUCUGUAACUGGGAAAGGGUAUCCUUCCUCCUGCCAGUUCUCCCCAGCUGAAGUCUACACAACCUUUACCCAGACAUCAGAAACAGCUGUCUCAGGCAGAAGGCGCUUGACUCCAGGUGGGCGCUCAGCAGCAAGGGCAGGUGAGAUAAUGAGCAACAAUAAAGUCCUUUUCAAGGAGGUGGGAGUCUGUUGGAGAGGUGAGCUGGUUAGCAUAUGCUGGCCCCUACUUGGCUCCUAGCAUUUGUUCUUCUGUGCAGCUUGUUUCUCAGUGUGAUAUCAGAUUUACUCUUCCUUCUCUUCCUCCUUUCCUGCCUUCUUUUUUCCCUUCAUUUACUGUGCAUGACACUGUGCUUGAUGCCACAGAAGAGUCAAAGAUGAUGCAGCUAUCACCCAUACCCUCAAGGAGCUGGCCACACUCUACCUAGAGAAAAGGUGAAGGGCAUGGACAUCAGAUUGUCCUCCCCUGAGUCUUCAGUUUUUCAGCCAAGUUCUGAGAUGACGACACGGACUGAACACCCUCAGACACCAGGCAAGACGAAAUCUGCAUAAUCGCAAAGUGCUGGGUACACAGAAGGACUAUGUGACGAAGCGCCAUCACAUGGCUGGUAGCCUGUGGUGAGUCACCGGACUUCUCAACUCCCACCUCACUGGGGUGGAAGGAACAGUAACCACAAUGCUCCACAACUCGGGCUGCACCCGUAUGAUUGGAAACAAUCUGUGAAAUUGUGGAGUGAACGACCCCGAAGAAACAGACUUCUAAUUCUAGCCUUUUGGAGAUUAUUAACCCAACUCCCAGAUUUUAGAGAUGAGGAAAGGGAGGCCCAGGGAGGUGAGGAUACAUGUCCAGGAUCACAGAGGUGAAAAGUGAGUUUGCUUGGCUAAGUUCAACUGUACCUACUUGUCUCCAGAGACUGCUCAGGAACUAGAACACCCUGAUACAACAUAGGCACCUGUGAUGGAGAUAUUCCCUCAAAAGUGGAAUGGGGCAUGAAGGAGAAUUGUCUCCUAAAAGCUGGGAAGUUUCUCCUAAUCCUUUUUAGGGUACCUUCCCUGUAUCCCAACUGCUCUUCAACUGCCGGAACUCAUGUCAGUCUCCAAAGAACAGUGUCCAAAUGUGUAUGAUGCCACAUUGGCUGAAGUGUGCUCUAAUUGUGCAGAUAUUCCCAUAAAUGCUAUUUUAUUAAGCUGAGCUACACUAAAUCUGUCAUCUCCAUAAGUAAUACCACAGCAAAUCUGUAGGUAAGUUCAGAACACUGCAGUGAGCCAUGCUGGGCUAUUAGUUUCAAUUCAGCGCUGUUUCCUGUAAGUUACAGCAUCUCAGGGGCACAACUUAGGCACUGAGUAAUAAGAUUUGGUUCCUUCCAGAUGCCCUCAGCUCCCCAAAACAACAGAAAUGGUCAAAGACAGAGGCAAGAAGACCAGAGAACCCUAAAUGUUUACUGUCUCUAAAGUGUUUGGAAACAGCUUGGACCAGUGUAGAGUGCUGGAACAGAGAAUCAAGAGCAUCAGGUUCGAUUCCCACCCUUACGAACUGCUCAGCCUAUGAAAAUUACUUUGUGUUUCAGGCCUCACUCUUGUCAUCUUUAAAAUGGCAACACAUAUACACACCCCUCCGCAGUAAAUACAGAGGUUCUGCAAGCCAGGACGUUAAGUACUUAGGAUGAAAAUGAUGACGAUUAAGUCUAUUCUAUCACUUGAUCCGAUUCUCUCUGACUGUUCUGCAGGGGGUAAUAACAUGGCCUGCAGAUGAUCCAUAAUCCACCAUCUUCUGGUGAAAAGAGAGGAAAGGGGUGUGUGUGUGUGUGUGUGUGUGUGUGUACACACACACAAACACAAUUUUAUAU